AAUCAACGCUGGCGGCGUGCCUAACACAUGCAAGUCGCACGAGAAAGUGGAGCAAUCCAUGAGUACAGUGGCGCACGGGUGAGUAACACGUGAAUAAUCUACCUCCGAGUGGGGAAUAACCUAGAGAAAUCUGGGCUAAUACCGCAUAACACUUACGAGUCAAAGCAGCAAUGCGCUUGGAGAGGAGUUCGCGGCCGAUUAGCUAGUUGGCGGGGUAGU
rnacentral:rRNA from 1 species